rnacentral:lncRNA from 1 species
UUUUUGGUUGUAAUUUUGCAGAGCUGGUGCUCUACAUAAUGUUACAAUGUAAUAACCAUUAUUAUCAGUCUAAACACUGAUUUUUUUUAUUUCUAAAGCUCACACAAUAUUUGUUUUUAUACAAUUUGUAUGACGUGUUGACCACAUAUUUUUUUAACGCUAGCUUAUAGAUAAAUUAAAUGUAGAAAUUUCAUUCAGUCUGUCAGUGAAAGCACUAAAUACCAUAAACUGACAUGCUAUUAUGAAUUAACGUUAGGAGAAUUUGUAUUUUUUACUUGCGAUUUAGUUUAGAGUUUGGUUGUGUUUUAGUUCAUAUUUGGUUGUUGUUGAAGGUGAUAAUACAGAAACUUCUCAUAAGACGUACAUUCAAGGGAGGUAAUUUUGUACGUCUAAUAAGUCUGUGCAGUUGGUUGCAAUAACAUUAAAUGAAUAACUUAUUGGAUAAGAGAAAUAACAGACCAGCAUUGUAUGGUCACAUUCAUGCACACUUUUAAGUGAAUAUAGGCAAAGUAUUUAAUUGUUUUCAAAAGAAAGUAGAAUUGCUCAAAUAAAGAUCAGUGUUUAAAUUUUACCAAAAUUACUAGAGUGUUUUUA